CCAAAUCAGUUCAGUUCACAAGUUAUUCAACAGAUGUUACACAUUAUGAAUGAUUAAUCCACUAAGCACAGAUGCAAUCAUGAAAUUUAGCAAUUCUCACCAGGCAAGUGUUUCACUCGACCACUCAAGUGUUUAAGGUAGCACUCCAACACUCUAUCAUUCACAAGUCACAUGAAACAAAAUUGCCAUUCAUCUAAAACAACCAAAAUCCCUUCAUGCAAAUGCCAUCAAAAGGACUUUUCCAAGGCUUGUAAUGAGGCUGGGCUAACAAGAAGUGUUGGUUUUCCUGAAAUGCAAAAUCCUUGAGUUAAGAAAGCUAUCAUAGUAUUCACAUUUAAGCACAACUCUCUUCCUCACCAAUCUCACUUUUUCCCAACUUUUUCCCUUUUCUUUUGCAUUGAGCCCAUCUUCAUGCUUUUCUUCUUUUCUUUUCUUUUUCUCGUGUAUUUUUCUUUCACAACAUUUGAGCUCAAUGCUUUUUCAAUUGCCUUUUAGUUUCCCCCAUGCAAACCCAAACUUGAACCUUUUCAUCACAUGCAAUUAAGCUCAUCCCAACUCAAGGUAAAGAAUGUCAAGACAAGGGUUCACAUCCUGUUUAAGGCUGAGGUUCAAACAGGGUAUAAUAUUU
rnacentral:lncRNA from 1 species